GGGUUGUGAGGUUAAGCGACUAAGCGUACACGGUGGAUGCCCUGGCAGUCAGAGGCGAUGAAGGACGUGCUAAUCUGCGAUAAGCGCCGGUAAGGUGAUAUGAACCGUUAUAACCGGCGAUUUCCGAAUGGGGAAACCCAGUGUGAUUCGUCACACUAUCAUUAACUGAAUCCAUAGGUUAAUGAGGCGAACCGGGGGAACUGAAACAUCUAAGUACCCCGAGGAAAAGAAAUCAACCGAGAUUCCCCCAGUAGCGGCGAGCGAACGGGGAGGAGCCCAGAGCCUGAAUCAGCAUGUGUGUUAGUGGAAGCGUCUGGAAAGGCGCGCGAUACAGGGUGACAGCCCCGUACACAAAAGCGCAUGUGCUGUGAGCUCGAUGAGUAGGGCGGGACACGUGGUAUCCUGUCUGAAUAUGGGGGGACCAUCCUCCAAGGCUAAAUACUCCUGACUGACCGAUAGUGAACCAGUACCGUGAGGGAAAGGCGAAAAGAACCCCGGCGAGGGGAGUGAAAAAGAACCUGAAACCGUGUACGUACAAGCAGUGGGAGCACCCUUUGGGGUGUGACUGCGUACCUUUUGUAUAAUGGGUCAGCGACUUAUAUUCUGUAGCAAGGUUAACCGUAUAGGGGAGCCGGAGGGAAACCGAGUCUUAAUUGGGCGUUAAGUUGCAGGGUAUAGACCCGAAACCCGGUGAUCUAGCCAUGGGCAGGUUGAAGGUUGGGUAACACUAACUGGAGGACCGAACCGACUAAUGUUGAAAAAUUAGCGGAUGACCUGUGGCUGGGGGUGAAAGGCCAAUCAAACCGGGAGAUAGCUGGUUCUCCCCGAAAGCUAUUUAGGUAGCGCCUCGUGAAUUCAUCUCCGGGGGUAGAGCACUGUUUCGGCUAGGGGGCCAUCCCGGCUUACCAACCCGAUGCAAACUGCGAAUACCGGAGAAUGUUAUCACGGGAGACACACGGCGGGUGCUAACGUCCGUCGUGAAGAGGGAAACAACCCAGACCGCCAGCUAAGGUCCCAAAGUCAUGGUUAAGUGGGAAACGAUGUGGGAAGGCCCAGACAGCCAGGAUGUUGGCUUAGAAGCAGCCAUCAUUUAAAGAAAGCGUAAUAGCUCACUGGUCGAGUCGGCCUGCGCGGAAGAUGUAACGGGGCUAAACCAUGCACCGAAGCUGCGGCAGCGAACGUAUCACCCAAGACAACUUUGCGGAGUUGACGAUUGACGGAGCGAAGCGACGUCAAAGCGUUCAUUAAAGUCGAGUUGGCUUAGGGAUACGUUCGUUGGGUAGGGGAGCGUUCUGUAAGCCUGUGAAGGUGGCCUGUGAGGGUUGCUGGAGGUAUCAGAAGUGCGAAUGCUGACAUAAGUAACGAUAAAGCGGGUGAAAAGCCCGCUCGCCGGAAGACCAAGGGUUCCUGUCCAACGUUAAUCGGGGCAGGGUGAGUCGACCCCUAAGGCGAGGCCGAAAGGCGUAGUCGAUGGGAAACGGGUUAAUAUUCCCGUACUUGGUGUUACUGCGAAGGGGGGACGGAGAAGGCUAUGUUGGCCGGGCGACGGUUGUCCCGGUUUAAGCGUGUAGGUGUGUGUUCCAGGUAAAUCCGGUUCACUUUAACACUGAGGCGUGACGACGAGGCACUACGGUGCUGAAGCAACAAAUGCCCUGCUUCCAGGAAAAGCCUCUAAGCAUCAGGUAACAUCAAAUCGUACCCCAAACCGACACAGGUGGUCAGGUAGAGAAUACCAAGGCGCUUGAGAGAACUCGGGUGAAGGAACUAGGCAAAAUGGUGCCGUAACUUCGGGAGAAGGCACGCUGACACGUAGGUGAAGUGAUUUACUCAUGGAGCUGAAGUCAGUCGAAGAUACCAGCUGGCUGCAACUGUUUAUUAAAAACACAGCACUGUGCAAACACGAAAGUGGACGUAUACGGUGUGACGCCUGCCCGGUGCCGGAAGGUUAAUUGAUGGGGUCAGCGCAAGCGAAGCUCCUGAUCGAAGCCCCGGUAAACGGCGGCCGUAACUAUAACGGUCCUAAGGUAGCGAAAUUCCUUGUCGGGUAAGUUCCGACCUGCACGAAUGGCGUAAUGAUGGCCAGGCUGUCUCCACCCGAGACUCAGUGAAAUUGAACUCGCUGUGAAGAUGCAGUGUACCCGCGGCAAGACGGAAAGACCCCGUGAACCUUUACUAUAGCUUGACACUGAACAUUGAGCCUUGAUGUGUAGGAUAGGUGGGAGGCUUUGAAGUGUGGACGCCAGUCUGCAUGGAGCCGACCUUGAAAUACCACCCUUUAAUGUUUGAUGUUCUAACGUGGACCCGUUACCCGGGUUGCGGACAGUGUCUGGUGGGUAGUUUGACUGGGGCGGUCUCCUCCUAAAGAGUAACGGAGGAGCACGAAGGUUGGCUAAUCCUGGUCGGACAUCAGGAGGUUAGUGCAAUGGCAUAAGCCAGCUUGACUGCGAGCGUGACGGCGCGAGCAGGUGCGAAAGCAGGUCAUAGUGAUCCGGUGGUUCUGAAUGGAAGGGCCAUCGCUCAACGGAUAAAAGGUACUCCGGGGAUAACAGGCUGAUACCGCCCAAGAGUUCAUAUCGACGGCGGUGUUUGGCACCUCGAUGUCGGCUCAUCACAUCCUGGGGCUGAAGUAGGUCCCAAGGGUAUGGCUGUUCGCCAUUUAAAGUGGUACGCGAGCUGGGUUUAGAACGUCGUGAGACAGUUCGGUCCCUAUCUGCCGUGGGCGCUGGAGAACUGAGGGGGGCUGCUCCUAGUACGAGAGGACCGGAGUGGACGCAUCACUGGUGUUCGGGUUGUCAUGCCAAUGGCACUGCCCGGUAGCUAAAUGCGGAAGAGAUAAGUGCUGAAAGCAUCUAAGCACGAAACUUGCCCCGAGAUGAGUUCUCCCUGAGACUUAGAGUCUCCUGAAGGAACGUUGAAGACGACGACGUUGAUAGGCCGGGUGUGUAAGCGCAGCGAUGCGUUGAGCUAACCGGUACUAAUGAACCGUGAGGCUUAACCUUACAACGCCGAAG
rnacentral:rRNA from 1 species